UACGUAGGGUCCAAGCGUUAUCCGGAAUCACUGGGCGUAAAGCGUGCGUAGGUGGCUUGUUAAGUGCGAUGCGAAAUCCUGUGGCUCAACCAUAUGGACUGUAUCGCAUACUGGCUAUCUAGAGGACAUGAGAGGCAAGUGGAAUUACUGGUGUAGCAGUGAAAUGCGUAGAGAUCAGUAGGAACACCAAUGGCGAAGGCAGCUUGCUGGCAUGUAUCUGACGCUAAGGCACGAAAGCGUGGGGAGCGAACAGG
rnacentral:rRNA from 1 species